AGAAGAAAAUGUAGCCAAGAACAACUUGCCGGAGAUCAUAAUAAUGGUUAUACAAAAAUAUGUAUGAGCGCAGUUAUGCGAACACACCGGCAAGUCAUCCUUGGCUGCAUUCAAAUCUCC
rfam:Morus notabilis contig23289, whole genome shotgun sequence.